rnacentral:rRNA from 1 species
AUUGAACGCUGGCGGCAGGCCUAACACAUGCAAGUCGAACGGUAACAGGGAUCAGCUUGCUGAUUCGCUGACGAGUGGCGGACGGGUGAGUAAUGUCUGGGAAACUGCCUGAUGGAGGGGGAUAACUACUGGAAACGGUAGCUAAUACCGCAUAACGUCGCAAGACCAAAGAGGGGGACCUUCGGGCCUCUUGCCAUCGGAUGUGCCCAGAUGGGAUUAGCUAGUAGGUGGGGUAACGGCUCACCUAGGCGACGAUCCCUAGCUGGUCUGAGAGGAUGACCAGCCACACUGGAACUGAGACACGGUCCAGACUCUUACGGGAGGCAGCAGUGGGGAAUAUUGCACAAUGGGCGCAAGCCUGAUGCAGCCAUGCCGCGUGUAUGAAGAAGGCCUUCGGGUUGUAAAGUACUUUCAGCGGGGAGGAAGGGAGUAAAGUUAAUACCUUUGCUCAUUGACGUUACCCGCAGAAGAAGCACCGGCUAACUCCGUG